AUCCGGGUUGCGGACAGUGUCUGGUGGGUAGUUUGACUGGGGCGGUCUCCUCCUAAAGAGUAACGGAGGAGCACGAAGGUUAGCUAAUCCUGGUCGGACAUCAGGAGGUUAGUGCAAAGGCAUAAGCUAGCUUGACUGCGAGAGUGACGGCUCGAGCAGGUGCGAAAGCAGGUCUUAGUGAUCCGGUGGUUCUGAAUGGAAGGGCCAUCGCUCAACGGAUAAAAGGUACUCCGGGGAUAACAGGCUGAUACCGCCCAAGAGUUCAUAUCGACGGCGGUGUUUGGCACCUCGAUGUCGGCUCAUCACAUCCUGGGGCUGAAGUAGGUCCCAAGGGUAUGGCUGUUCGCCAUUUAAAGUGGUACGCGAGCUGGGUUUAGAACGUCGUGAGACAGUUCGGUCCCUAUCUGCCGUGGGCGCUGGAGAAUUGAGGGGGGCUGCUCCUAGUACGAGAGGACCGGAGUGGACGCAUCACUGGUGUUCGGGUUGUCAUGCCAAUGGCAUUGCCCGGUAGCUAAAUGCGGAAGAGAUAAGUGCUGAAAGCAUCUAAGCACGAAACUUGCCCCGAGAUGAGUUCUCCCUGAGACU
rnacentral:rRNA from 1 species